AUACGGAAGGUCCAGGCGUUAUCCGGAUUUAUUGGGUUUAAAGGGAGCGUAGGCCGGAGAUUAAGCGUGUUGUGAAAUGUAGACGCUCAACGUCUGCACUGCAGCGCGAACUGGUUUCCUUGAGUACGCAUAAAGUGGGCGGAAUUCGUGGUGUAGCGGUGAAAUGCUUAGAUAUCACGAAGAACUCCGAUUGCGAAGGCAGCUCACUGGGGCGCAACUGACGCUGAAGCUCGAAAGCGCGGGUAUC
rnacentral:rRNA from 1 species